CAUGCAGUCGACGAUGACGGAGGAGCUUGCUCCUCCUGAUUAGUGGCGAACGGGUGAGUAAUACGUGAGCAAUGUGCCCUUGACUCUGGGAUAAGCGCUGGAAACGGCGUCUAAUACCGGAUACGACGAUCGGAGGCAUCUCCUGGUCGUGGAAAGAACUUCGGUCAAGGAUCAGCUCACGGCCUAUCAGUUAGUUGGUGAGGUAAUGGCUCACCAAGACGACGACGGGUAGCCGGCCUGAGAGGGUGACCGGCCACACUGGGACUGAGACACGGCCCAGACUCCUACGGGAGGCAGCAGUGGGGAAUAUUGCACAAUGGGCGCAAGCCUGAUGCAGCAACGCCGCGUGAGGGACGAAGGCCUUCGGGUUGUAAACCUCUUUUAGCAGGGAAGAAGCGAAAGUGACGGUACCUGCAGAAAAAGCACCGGCUAACUACGUGCCAGCAGCCGCGGUAAUACGUAGGGUGCAAGCGUUGUCCGGAAUUAUUGGGCGUAAAGAGCUCGUAGGCGGUUUGUCACGUCUGCUGUGAAAACCCGAGGCUCAACCUCGGGCUUGCAGUGGGUACGGGCAGACUAGAGUGCGGUAGGGGAGAUUGGAAUUCCUGGUGUAGCGGUGGAAUGCGCAGAUAUCAGGAGGAACACCGAUGGCGAAGGCAGAUCUCUGGGCCGUAACUGACGCUGAGGAGCGAAAGCAUG
rnacentral:rRNA from 1 species